rnacentral:rRNA from 1 species
UGGGGAAUAUUGGACAAUGGGCGAAAGCCUGAUCCAGCGACGCCGCGUGGGUGAAGAAGGCCUGCGGGUUGUAAAGCCCUUUCGGUAGGGACGAAAGCUCUUGCCCUAAUACGGCAGGAGGUUGACUUAACCUACAUAAGAAGCACCGGCUAACUCUGUGCCAGCAGCCGCGGUAAUACAGAGGGUGCGAGCGUUAAUCGGAAUUACUGGGCGUAAAGCGCACGUAGUCGGCUUUGCAAGUCGGGUGUGAAAUCCCCGGGCUCAACCUGGGAACUGCAUUCGAGACUGCAUUGCUAGAGUAUGGGAGAGGGAAGCGGAAUUUCUGGUGUAGCAGUGAAAUGCGUAGAUAUCAGAAGGAACAUCAGUGGCGAAGGCGGCUUCCUGGACCAAUACUGACGAUCAGGUGCGAAAGCGUGGGGAGCAAACAGG